AACGAACGCUGGCGGCAUGCCUAACACAUGCAAGUCGAACGAGAUCUUCGGGUCUAGUGGCGCACGGGUUCGUAACCCGUGGGAAUCUGCCCUCUGGUUCGGCCUAACAGUUGGAGACGACUGCUAAUUCCGGAUGAUGACGAAAGUCCAAAGAUUUAUCGCGAGAGGAUGAGCCCGGGGAGGAAUAGCUAGUCGGCGUGGUAAUGGCCCACCAAGGCGACGAUCCUUUGGUGGGCUGAGAGGAUGACCAGCCACACUGGGACUGAGACACGGCCCAGACUCCUACGGGAGGCAGCAGUGGGGGGUAUUGGACAAUGGGCGAAAGCCUGAUCCAGCAAUGCCGCGUGGGUGAUGAAGGCCUUAGGCUUGUAAAGCUCUUUUACCCGGGAUGAUAAUGACAGUACCGAGGAAGUAAGCUCCGGCUAACUCCGUGCCAGCCGCCGCCGUAA
rnacentral:rRNA from 1 species